AGAUCAGACCAACUUGGCCAAAGACCCUGAGAGUAUCUUUCAAUGCUCUUCAGAAGAGAGAUUCUUUAAACCAGGAAGUGUACUUGUCCGAUCACAGAGCCAAUAAUCGACCAUGUACGCUGAAGGCAAUACAACUGAAUUACUUCAAGAACAUACAGAAAUAGCAGGUACAGAACUUACAGAAGUAGGUACAGAGCCUGAUAGAAAUCGAUGGAUCCCGUUGUUACUCCUGGUUUUCGUGUUCAUUAUGAUUGCGAUCAAUGGUAUCUGCCUGGCCGCCUUUGCCGUCGAGAAACAGCUGCGUGGCUACAACAACUACUUCAUCAUAAACCUUACGAUUUCGGACUUUAUCUUCGGGAUUUUUCUCGUCAUUACAUGCUUACACAUGUACCUUGGGCGUCUUCCCUUUCCCUUUCCGGUUAGGUGCAAGGUGUUCUACGGUGUCAGCAACAGCAUCCAAUUCGUAUCUAACCUGAUCAUCGUCACCAUCUGCGUUGACAGACACCGGGCAACCUAUAAUCCCAUCGGACAUUUCACAAGACGAAGAAAGCGAACGGCGCUCUACACCAACAUCUGCGUGUGGAUCGUUUCUUUUGUUUUCUGGUUUUCAUACUCGACGGUUCCUGACUAUAUUCUGCAGUUUCGGCUUGGUUCAGAGUGUUUUCACUGGUAUUCUGUGUUUCCAAUCGCCCAAUUGUCGACCGUACUGAUCCGCUUCAUCAUCCCUUUCACCAUAAUGUUGAUUCUCUACAUACGGAUCUUCAUAAAGAUUCGAGGGAUCGCCAGUGGAAGGCACAUCGACAAGGAGUUUACCGAAGAUACCACAGUGUCAGAUCAUAGCCUACCGGAAGGUGAUGUCAAGGAAAAUAAACAGCGCCCUCAAGUAAAGACAAUAUCUGGAGUUCAAAAAGCCGCAAAUCGUGAGCCGGCCUCAGAGGUUCGAAGCGCCACCAAGACCCUACUCUUCAUCGUCAUGGCCUUCUUCAUCACGUGGUUCCCAACGUCUCUUUUGGCGAUUGUCGUCACUAUCGAUCGAACGCUCGGCUACCCGCGGCUACCCUACUGGGCUUUUUGGAUAACUAUUUGGCUCGUUUACGUGAACGGUCUACUCAAUCCGAUCUGUUACGUCAUCUCCCAACCGCUCUUCAGGAAAACCGUAUUUGGUUUGCUCUGCCGCCCUAUCCGGUAUUGUCGUUGCUAGGAUAAUUACCCCCACCCGCUUUACCACGAUACAGACUCAGAAACACGAUUUAUUACAAAACGUAGUUUCAAAAUCUAGUGUAGAAUCUUUUGGACUGUUAUUAAUUAGACACACAUUCUGUUAAGAUAGAAGAUGAAUAUGAACACAAAAUUAUAGUUUCACAUCGUGUUCUAUGGUGAAUUAAUGCCCAGACACUUUGGUUUGUUGUACGAUGUUCAGACACACACACACAUUUCUGGUAAUCAUUGAGGUAUAUGUUUUGUGACAAAAAAAAGAAUUGGAUUUAUGUGGUAACAUAAACCAUAGAUUAAUAUCCUUGUGCUCACUCUCACAGGCGCACAAUGGCCCGUUUUCUGAAGGCAAUCUUAACUUGUUGAACAUGUCAAAAUUAUCUUUACAUUGCAUGUUUCUUACGUUUACAGAGGUCCUUUGUCUUUCCUUUAUUCGCCAUCCCCAGAGAGUUAUAAAUGGUUUGAAUGUCAAAUGUACUUAUGGAAUGAACCUGUAAUGUUAGAGUUUGGUGUCACAAUUGGCUAUCCAUAGUUAAACCACAAAAUUAGAUCAGAGUUCUAAAGUAAACACGAGAUCAGAAUAUGGUUCCUAGUCUUUUUAUCACUCCCUCACAUGCAUAUAACAACGUUUCUUUCUUUAUGUUAUCAUCACUAUCGUCAUCAUUGUCGUCAUCAUCAUCAUCAUUACCAUUAUCAUAAAAAAGCAUCGCCAUCCUCGUGACAUAUAUAUGGUCUAUUUUGCACGAAAUUCAUUCUGCAGCGUGGUCAAAGACAAAGGGUAUUUGAGAGAGAGAAAACCUUGGGGUGCAAUAUCAUUCAAAUUGAUAAUGCAAGUAUGUCAUAACCUCUUUCUGUUUCCAGGGUAAGUUGUUACGAAAGCAUAGUUGCGUUCUUACAUGGCAAAAAUGAUUUUAGUUACCCAACACCUGAUGUCAUUGCCAUACUUUGCCUUGCUUUGCUAAAAAUAAAUUAUUCUUAGACAGUUAGAUAGAGAUACAUGUACUUGGCUUUUCUCUUUUUGCAUUCUCCUAGGAAAAGAGAAACAUCUUUAAGGCGUGAAUAGAAGCACUUUCUCGCGUAGGCCACCGUCUUUGUAAGAACAGUUGAAAAAACACUAUACCUAAUACAUGUAGAAACAAAAUAUCUUUUUGUCAGAAGCGAUGAAUGAAUUAAUCAGGGACACGUCGAUAUCGCUGCUGUAUAGAUACGGGGGCAUUGGGGCGCUGGCCCCCAAAGUUUUACGAACAAGAAAAGAAAAGAUGAAAAUCCGUAUCUUAUUUUUCGAAAUAGACAUGUAAUGAAAUACUCCGAAAAUUUACUUUGCCCAAUAUUGAUCGUCGGCCCGGCAACCGCUGUGUAGAGCCAGAUCGACGAGGGUAGCAGCAACUCCCAUCUUUUGGUCUGACGCGGCCGGGAAGGGGAAUGAAAUGGUGACGUGUGAUAAUAUUUCAACGUUAUCAAUACCAUGUCAACAUUUAUCAAAAUUAAGAAUUCCAUUUUAAGAAGGCAAAGUUUUCACUUUCUCUCUUUAUUUGUUCCUGAUCGCUUAGAAAGCUUUCCUCAGACAUACGCCAUGCUGCGGUCCUAGUAUUUGGCUCACUAUGCCACUGUUCACUGCACUGUAUCUUCUUCUGUUCUCAAUGUUCUUAUGAUUUAUGAACUAUUGAUUUAUCCCAUGUGAUAUCCUUUAAGAUAUCUAUAGGCCUAUAUUAUCGUGUCCUCAAUACACGCAGGCAUGUACAGUGUACCUUUAUUAACCAACAGAUCGAUAUAGUUACACAACCACUUAUCUCCAACCGUGUUAUACAUUACGCUUCUACUCAAUAUCUUGCAAAAAAUAGUACCUUUCGUCACGGAAUCUUUUUAUCCUAACUAUCUAUUGAAAAAGUGAUAUCCAUAUGAAAGGAAUGAUAUUCCUUUCAAGGGAAACUGCCUCGUAUAUAAGUCAAAGCAUUUUAGUAUCGAAAUACUACCUUGAGUGACGGUCAGCAAGAGCAUGUAGCCAUAUUUGUAUUGGGUUUGAUAAGAAUAUAACAGUAGUAAGUUAUCCUUCAUGCAACGAUUAUAGUGCCACUAGUAAAAUAAAAAAAAUUAGAAACAUAAUUUCUAGCUCCGUAGUGAGAGUCAUGUACGCGGACGGGAAUACGACCGACGUUUUUCAGGAGCAACAAGAAACAGUAGCGACGGAAACGGAUGAUGAGAGACGUGGUCUCCACGCCCUGCUCCUACCGCUGCUCCUAGUGGCCCUCAUCAUCACGACCAAUGGCCUCAGCCUGGCAGCAUUUGCCGUCGAAAAACGACUCCGUGGCUACAACAACUACUUCAUCAUAAACCUUACAAUCUCUGACUUUCUCUUUGGGUUUGUCAUCAUCGUGACAUCCUUGCAUACCUAUUUUAGACGAUUCCCAUUCCCUGGUAACAACUCGUGCCGGAUCUUCUACGGUGUCUUCAGCAGCGUCCAGUUUGUAUCAAAUCUGAUCAUCGUCACCAUCUGCAUCGAUAGACACCGAGCAACCUACGAUCCCAUCGGGCAUUUCACCACCAGGAGCAAGCGAAAGGCGAUCUACGCGAUCGGCCAGAUAGUACCAGUAUUUAUUCGGUUCAUCAUCCCUUUCACAAUCAUGCUGAUAAUCUAUGUGCGGAUCUUCGUGAAGAUCCAAAAGAUAGCCGGUAGAAAGCACAUCGGUGAAGUUUUUAAUGGGGACACUUCAUGGUCGCGGCAAAGCAAAUCGGACGGUGGUAACGACGCUGGUGAUUCCAAAGAAGGCCCCAUUACUACCAUAGAAUCUGGUGGUCAGAAAGCAGUCAAGCGUGAAUCAGCAUCCGAGGUUCGCAGCGCCACAAAGACACUCCUCUUCAUCGUCAUCGCUUUCUUUAUUACCUGGUUUCCAGUUUCUGUCAUCUCCUUUAUCUACUCGAUUGAACCGACACUCAUCUAUCCACGGCUUCCUGACUGGGCGCAUUUGGUACCCGGUUGGCUGGUCUACGUGAAUAGCUUACUCAAUCCGCUUUGCUACGUUGUCUCGCAGCCGCUGUUUCGGAAAACCGUAUUCAGUUUGAUCCGCCACCCUAUCCGGUAUUGCAGAGGGAAAUAAUCAUCUGUUUUAUUAGAUUAUGGCGGGUUUGGAAUUUUUGCAUUUGUAAUUUGAAGUCUAAUAAUCAAUUGACCGAAUCUUUCGAUUCUCAGUGUCCAAGCUCCUGAUAAAGACCGGUAAGGUUCUAAACAGUAACAGCAAAUUGGAUUUAAAAAUAUACUUAAUAUGCAAACUCUCCUGUUUAAGAAAUCUUUUGAAAAGUUUUAUUCGGAUCCAGUGGCGUACCUAGGAUUUUCCACAGGGGGGGCAAAACCGUCCGCCCAAAAAUUUGACAAGC